UACGUAGGGGGCAAGCGCUAUCCGGAUUUACUGGGUGUAAAGGGGGCGCAGACGGCGAUGCAAGCCAGGAGUGAAAGCCCGGGGCCCAACCCCGGGACUGCUCUUGGAACUGCGUGGCUGGAGUGCAGGAGGGGCAGGCGGAAUUCCUGGUGUAGCGGUGAAAUGCGUAGAUAUCAGGAGGAACACCGGUGGCGAAGGCGGCCUGCUGGACUGCAACUGACGUUGAGGCCCGAAAGCGUGGGGAGCAAACAGG
rnacentral:rRNA from 1 species